UCUUCGGUUUGUUGUACAGAAAAUAAACAAAAAAAAAGUUUAUACAGUUUAAUAAUAAAUUAGAAAAAAAGAUUGGCACACAUUGCAACGGAUAAACUAAAUAAGAACCUUUCAUUUCAGUUUUUUGCCUCCUCGCCUUCUUCAAUGACAUAAACACUCUCUUCACUCUCAAAAUUUCCCCCAAAUUCACCAAGAAGCCCUAAUUCCUCCUCUCCAUCAAUUGCCAUUUCAUCACCCGCCACUACUUCUUCCUCUUCAAAACUCCUCAAUUCCUUCAAUUUCGGUAGAGUUUUUGCUCACUGGAUAUUGAAAUGACUCUAAUCAUUUCUUAUUUUCUAAUCUUUGUUCCGCUUUUCACAAAUCUUUUGUUUCCUCUUUUUAUCUUCCCAACCACCACAUCCAAAAUAAUGAACUAGAAAAUUAUUGGGAAAUCGAGAAGAUCGACCUAAACAAAGUUCGAACGGUCGAGAUGAUUAACCAAUAUUAUGAAAAUAAUGAAGAUAUGAUUAUAGAAAAAUCAAGAAGAAACCAAAAGAUGGUUGAUUCUUCUAUAAUCAUAUCUUCGCUAUUUCUAUAAUAUCGGUUAGUCAUCUCGACCGUUCCAUCUUGGUUUAGAUCGUCCUUCUCGAUCCUCCAUUAAAAACCCCACCAUCUCAACAAU